CAGUGCUUCUUCUUUUUUUUUUCACCAUUUGUAGGCUAAGAUUUUCGUAAUCUUGCUGUCUAAAUCUUCCCAGCUGUAGUUCCUAAUAUUCUUCAGUAGCAUUGCUGGAUUACAUUUUAUAUUAAGUGGGAGCCACUGCCUUAAUAAUAAACCAAUUAAUACUUGAAAUAUGAUUAUCUCAUCAUAAAUUGAUAAAAGACUUGCAAAAGCAGUUAAAGAGAGUGAGAAUCUUGACUGAAGAACAUUAUUGAUUGGGAAAAGAAGGAGAAUGGACAGAUAUGACUCGAGCCCUGUAGCCCCUUUGAUCCCAAGCCAAGGCAGAAGCCACUGCAUUGAUAGAGAGGUAUCUGAACAAGGUUGUUAUAGAGGGGAGAUUAUUGAAGAAGUAAAGAGGCAGCUAGGACUAGCACUGCCUCUGAUUGCAGUGAGCAUUCUGCAGUACUGUUUACAAAUUAUUUCGAUCAUGUUUGUCGGCCAUCUUGGGGAGCUGCCUCUUUCAAGUGCUUCGAUGGCUACUUCCUUUGCUUCAGUCACUGGAUUCAACGUAUUGUUAGGAAUGGGAAGUGCACUGGAAACGCUAUGUGGACAAGCUUAUGGAGCCAAACAGUAUCGUAUGCUUGGCAUCUAUACGCAGCGAGGGAUGAUAGUUCUUCUAGUGUUAAGCAUUUUCCUUGCAUUGAUUUGGUUCUACACAGACCACAUUCUAAUAGUUCUUGGUCAAGAUCAGGAGAUAUCUAUUGAAGCUGGGAAAUUUAAUCGGUCAAUGAUACCAGGCCUUUUUGCCUAUGCCCUCCUUCAAUGCAUCAACAGAUUUUUACAGACUCAAAAUAUUGUGUUUCCUAUGAUGAUGAGCUCUGGCAUUACAGCGUUAUUUCAUGUUCUUUUAUGCUGGUUUCUUGUGUUCAAAACUGGAUUUGGAAACAGAGGAGCUGCUCUUGCAAACGGCAUAUCAUAUUGGGUUAAUGUGUUUUUGCUGACGGCGUACAUCAAGUUUUCACCAGCUUGCUCAAGUACUUGGACUGGCUUCUCUAAAGAGGCCUUGCUUGGUAUCGUCAGUUUUAUAAAACUUGCAAUUCCUUCAGCUAUCAUGAUUUGUUUGGAGUAUUGGUCAUUUGAGAUGGUUGUUCUAUUAUCUGGUCUUUUGCCAAAUCCAAAGCUAGAAACAUCAGUCCUAUCUAUCAGCCUCAAUACAUGUUGGAUGGUCUAUAUGAUCUCUGUCGGUCUUGGUGCUGCCAUAAGUACGAGAGUUUCAAAUGAAUUGGGCGCUGGAAAUCCACAAGGCGCGCGCUUAGCAUUGGGUGUGGUAGUCAUAGUGGCCCUUACAGAGGGCGCAAUUGUUGGAACAACAACCAUUCUGGUUCGGCAUAUAUGGGGAAAGCUCUAUAGCAAUGAAGAAGAGGUGGUUAGAUAUGUGGCUAAGAUGUUGCCUCUCCUUGCACUAUCUGACUUCUUUGAUGGAUUCCAAUGUGUCUUAUCAGGGGCUGCAAGAGGAUGUGGAUGGCAAAACCUCUGUGCAUUUAUCAACCUUGGAGCUUAUUAUAUUGUAGGAAUACCUUCAGCUGUUCUGCUUGCAUUCUUCUUCCACAUUGGAGGCAUGGGACUUUGGAUGGGAAUCAUAUGUGGCCUUUCAGUGCAAGUUGUAGCGCUUGUUACAGUAAACCUGUGCACUGAUUGGGAUAAUGAGGCAAGAAUGGCAGUGAAUAGAAUUCAAAGUUGCAGCAUACCAGAGGAAUAAUCACCAGAACAAAAGGGAGUUAGUAAAAGAAUCCCUAAUCACUUCUAGAACUGUAAUUGUCAGAUGGCCCUUGCUUCACUGCGACAAAGGAAGCCCGUUUGCAGUUUUUUUGUUCUCCUGCUUCAACUUUCUUAUCAAGUGGCAGUCCACAUGUCUGAAAUUGGAGGAACCAUAAAAGGAAGGUGAUAAGGUUUUUGGCUGCGAAAUAUUGCUCCUGGAAACUCUGUAUCUACCGCUAUGAAGCGAUAAGUUGCAAGAUUUUGCUCAAUGAUGGAAAAUCUGCCCUUAAAUUGUAUGCAUACAACUUUCUAACUACAAUCAGCUUUCCCUCCAUGUUUCUCUCCCUAUAAGUUCAAAAUAAUCCACAAAAAUAUAGAAAAGAAAAGAACGGGGAUGCUUACGAUACAUUGUUGUAACUCCCGGUUUCUGGUAAGUUUUCAAAUCCUAUUGGUCUUAGGAUUACUAAAAUAACUUUGUUUUUAAAAAUUAUUCCCAUAAUAAUACACUUUUAAAUCAUAUUCCCUUUAUAAUAACUUGUAUAAUCUACAUAAGACUUUUGAAACUUAAUUUCCUUUAUUUUCCCUUUUCAAAAGGCUUCCAAUCUUUUCUUAAUUAUACUUUACCUUUUCUUAGUCACUUCUAAUCCUGAUUAAAUAACUAUAAAUCUUCUUACAAAGUAAUAUGGAACAAAACGCCAAUAAAAAUUUAUUCUAUGUAGGCAUAUCUCACUAAGAAUGGAGGGACUAAAAAAAGGAAAAAGUCACUUGACAACAAUUAAUUGUACAAGGAUAUAUCUUUGUGGGAAGGGAGGAAAAAAAGGUUAUAUCUUUGUAGGAAGGGAAGGAAAAAAAAAAAAAA